rnacentral:rRNA from 1 species
UACGUAGGGUGCGAGCGUUGUCCGGAAUCACUGGGCGUAAAGCGCACGUAGGCGGAUUGUUAAGUCAGGGGUGAAAUCCUGGAGCUCAACUCCAGAACUGCCUUUGAUACUGGCGAUCUCGAGUCCGGGAGAGGUGAGUGGAACUGCGAGUGUAGAGGUGAAAUUCGUAGAUAUUCGCAAGAACACCAGUGGCGAAGGCGGCUCACUGGCCCGGUACUGACGCUGAGGUGCGAAAGCUAGGGGAGCGAACAGG